CGGUCUUACUAAUAAAAAAUCACUAUACAUGCGUUAUGACAAGGUGAUAGUAAUUCAGUGAAUAGAGCUUGUACAGGGCAUAAACUCCUCUUUGACCAAUAAUCGAUGUGUAUUGGUUGAAUAACAAAACGACCCUUAUUUAUUGUUACCCUGGCAACCCGCCGUGUUUGAUUGACGUUUGAUUUAAUAAUUUUGAUACGACUCAUAAUUCUAAUGUAAGUUGUAUUUAUUUUAUCAACCAAAGCAAUUAUAUACACAUUUACUCAAUAUACUAAUAACAUUUUAUUAUUUGCAGCUAAUAGAAACUCCAAAACCUCAGACAAAGAGGACUAGAAUUUUACAUAAAAAGCCGCGUUCUGCAGUACAAAAGUUAGAAGAGGCAUCUCAAAUAGUGGAAAGUGCCAAACUCCGCAACACGGUAGUGUUCCAGUGUUUCCAGGAAGAGCACGAAACAAAACAAAGGCAGAUGGCUGAAACACAUGAGCUCAAACAGAAGCGACUCGCCGAAGCUCACGAAAGGGCUAGACAGAAGCAUCUUCUAAGGCUCAAAUUGUUACAGCAGCAAUUAAAUAAAUAAUUAUAUACUUAUAAAAAAAAUAAAACCCCCGUUUUAAAUGAAA